UACGUAGGGGGCAAGCGUUGCCCGGAAUCAUUGGGCGUAAAGAGCGUGUAGGCGGCCCGAUAAGUCCGCUGUGAAAGUCCAGGGCUCAACCCUGGAAUGCCGGUGGAUACUGUCGGGCUCGAAUCCGGAAGAGGUGAGUGGAAUUCCUGGUGUAGCGGUGAAAUGCGCAGAUAUCAGGAGGAACACCAAUGGCGAAGGCAGCUCACUGGGACGGUAUUGACGCUGAGACGCGAAAGCGUGGGGAGCAAACAGG
rnacentral:rRNA from 1 species